rnacentral:rRNA from 1 species
AUUGAACGCUGGCGGCAGGCCUAACACAUGCAAGUCGAACGGUAACAGGAAGAAGCUUGCUUCUUUGCUGACGAGUGGCAGACGGGUGAGUAAUGUCUGGGAAACUGCCUGAUGGAGGGGGAUAACUACUGGAAACGGUAGCUAAUACCGCAUAACGUCGCAAGACCAAAGAGGGGGACCUUCGGGCCUCUUGCCAUCGGAUGUGCCCAGAUGGGAUUAGCUAGUAGGUGGGGUACCGGCUCACCUAGGCGACGAUCCCUAGCUGGUCUGAGAGGAUGACCAGCAACACUGGAACUGAGACACGGUCCAGACUCCUACGGGAGGCAGCAGUGGGGAAUAUUGCACAAUGGGCGCAAGCCUGAUGCAGCCAUGCCGCGUGUAUGAAGAAGGCCUUCGGGUUGUAAAGUACUUUCAGCGGGGAGGAAGGGAGUAAAGUUAAUACCUUUGCUCAUUGACGUUACCCGCAGAAGAAGCACCGGCUAACUCCGUG